rnacentral:rRNA from 1 species
UAGGGAAUAUUGGACAAUGGGGGAAACCCUGAUCCAGCGACGCCGCGUGUGUGAAGAAGGCCUGCGGGUUGUAAAGCACUUUUAGUGGGGACAAAAAGCUACGGACUAAUACUCUGUGGUCUUGAUUUAACCCAAAGAAAAAGCACCGGCUAACUCUGUGCCAGCAGCCGCGGUAAUACAGAGGGUGCGAGCGUUAAUCGGAAUUACUGGGCGUAAAGCGUGCGUAGACGGUUAUGUAAGUCGGAUGUGAAAUCCCCGGGCUCAACCUGGGAAUUGCAUUCGAAACUGCAUAGCUAGGGUGCGGAAGAGGGAAGCGGAAUUUCCGGUGUAGCGGUGAAAUGCGUAGAUAUCGGAAGGAACAUCAGUGGCGAAGGCGGCUUCCUGGUCCAGCACCGACGUUCAGGCACGAAAGCGUGGGGAGCAAACAGGAUUAGAUACCCCCGUAGUCC